GCCUCCAUACUUAGCGAUGGCCUCCUGGACCCACUUUCUCUCUCAAACUGUCUUUUCUCAUUCCUUUGACUCUGCUGGACUUCGUCAUCCCCACGACCCGGUGUUGAGUCUGAUCACCCAACAUCAUCAGGAUAGAAGCUUCCCUCUCCUCCUCCAGACCUUGUGGUGUGCACGUGGGAGUCCAGGGACUAGAAUACUCAUUUUCAAAGCCUGACAUUGGACCCGGGAGACAGGGAAAAACCAUCCUCAGGAAGUCACAAGAGAAAGAGAGAGCACAGAGGUAUACAGCAUGUGAAACUUUGGACUGCUCAAAGAAGACAUUUUCAAACAUAUCUUUUCAGGACUGUCAAUAGGAACCGUAAGUGAGUUUCAGGUUCGCUCAUCUAAUUGUAGCAGUUAACUGACUGACAAGGUGAAGAAGGAUUGUGGUUUUCUGUUUCAGAUGGAAAAACUAAAAACAUAAGAGAAUCUCACAAUUAUCCACAUAUGCCCCAAAAGUUCAUACUACAGAAGAAUCUAUAUAUACUUAAACAGACUAUUGAGAAAAGUCAAGUUGUUUUUCUAUAUGAACCCAAUAAUGCAUUUUCAAGACACUGGAUAAAUUUAAAAAAAACGGGCAUUUUCCAGGAAACGGAAAGACUAGAAAUAAAAGUAGAAGAAAAAGGCUUAAACAAUAUUCUCCUUUAACUUUCUGGCGCAGAGUGAGGCAGUGAGGAAAUAAAAAUAGAGUCCGCGCUUUCAAGUGUUUCCUGAUCUGCUGGGGAAAAUGGUCAUAUUAACACAUGGAGUCAUGGCACAGUGUGUGCUAAGGAUCAUGGUAAAGGUGUACACAGUGAUUUGCUAACAAGAGGGAUAGAAGGUGUGGCUCAGGGAAUGACACAGCUGUCUGAAAGAGUCAAAAUGUACCACAGAGAACGUGACAGAGAUCUGGAUCUCAAAGAAAUGAGAGGUUGCCUAGGGAGCAACAACAAGGAGGGCAUUCCUGGCAGAGGAAAUGGCAUGUGCAAAGAGACAUCAAGAGGAUGAAGCAUUAGAAAUAUAACUAAAUUAUGGUUAUAGCUUGGGUGCCUAUUAAUAGAUCUGCUCAAUAUUAGGCAAAAACAAUAACAAUUGAGAAUUUGUAUAUCAUCUUUGGUGUCUUCUUUGAUAACUUAUUUUGUGUAUGUGUGUUUUUCUUUCCUGCUACUACUCUGGAGACUUGUUCCACUGGUGACCUUUAUGCAUUCUAAACAAUCGUAAUUUCACAGAGUAAGUUGUUCUCUUCUCCCUAUGUGUUUUGUCACUAGCCAUUGUUUUAAAGUAGCUUGCUUGGUUUUUUGUAUUGCAUCUUGUGAAAGCCUAGAUGCCUAGGGGCUUUCAUACAAAUGUAGAAGUCAAAAUACAUUUCUUCUUGGAAGGUAAUAAAGUGUGAAUGUUUUCAACAAAUAAAG
rnacentral:lncRNA from 1 species